CUGCGGAUUCAUAUAUUUAUAUAGAUAUCGUAUGCAGUUUGAGACUUAAAGUUCAAAUCUAAUAUGUUAACUUAAAAGAAUCAGCAUUCUACUUUAUAGCGGGAGGUUAAGUUGGACCGAUUUACAUUUGACAUGGCGGGAGAUCGAGUUAGCCCAAGUCAUGUUCGAAGUGACAUGGUGCUAAUUAAGUCAAGUCACAAUUGAGGUCUGUACAUAUGCAUUGUGUCUGUAUGCUUUAAAUGAAUUGAUUGUGUACGUAUUUCUAACAGUUCGAGCUUUUAGAACUAAUAAUUAGUGUCAAUGAUUCGACAAAUGGUGUCAGAGUCAGAGGUCACGGAUUUGAUUUCCGCAUAUAAUAUGGUAGGAGGUGGGGUAGGGCCGAGUUAUGUUCAAAGUUGCGUGAGUCUAAUUAUACCGAGUUACAAUCGAGAUCUGUGAGCGUUGUGACUGUACACUUUAAAUUAUAUAUAU
rnacentral:lncRNA from 1 species